AGCAGCCGCGGUAAUUCCAGCUCCAAUAGCGUAUAUUAAAGUUGUUGCAGUUAAAAAGCUCGUAGUUGAAUUUCGGGAUCAGUUCGUCGGUCGUGCCUUUGGUAUGUACUGGUGUUACUGGUUCCUCCCUUCUGACGAACCGUCAUGUCAUUAAUUUGGUGUGGCGGGAAAUCAGGACUGUUACUUUGAAAAAAUUAGAGUGUUUAAAGCAGGCUCGCGCUUGAAUACAUUAGCAUGGAAUAAUGAAAUAGGACGUUCGAUCCUAUUUUGUUGGUUUCUAGGAUUGACGUAAUGAUUAAUAGGGAUAGUUGGGGGCAUUAGUAUUCAAUUGUCAGAGGUGAAAUUCUUGGAUUUAUUGAAGACUAACUACUGCGAAAGCAUUUGCCAAGGAUGUUUUCAUUAAUCAAGAACGAAAGUUAGGGGAUCGAAGACGAUCAGAUACCGUCGUAG
rnacentral:rRNA from 1 species